AAGUCGUAACAAGGUAUCCGUAGGUGAACCUGCGGAUGGAUCAUUAACAGUAUUAUUUUAUACUUUAACACUUGUGAACCGUAUGAGAGUCUUUCUCUCAAUUUAUUAUACUAUUAGACUGAAACCACUUUAUAUACACAAUUAUAAAACUUUUAGCAACGGAUCUCCGGCUCUCGCAACGAUGAAGAACGCAGCGAAUUGCGAAAAGUAAUGUGAAUUGCAUAUACCGUGAAUCAUCAAAUCUUUGAACGCACCUUGCACCAUUGGGAACUCCCGAUGGUACGUCUGUUUGAGUAUCAAUCAACACCUGCAAACUUUGCUUUUAACCGAGCCAUAAUUUGCAUAUCGAUUGGAUAGUUAUAUUACUACCGAUUUAGAUACAUAGUCUAGCCACGCUAGUCAACAGAGAUUAACACUUCUGAGUGACGAAUGUAGCAGCAUGACUGGGCUUCUUGAAGCCUUUAACUUUGAUCUCAAAUCAGACGAGGAUACCCGCUGAACUUAA
rnacentral:rRNA from 1 species